AACACUGAGCCAAGUCCCUAGCAGCCACCUUCCUGGACUCGUUUGGGGUCGCACUGGGGACAUUCUAGGACUACAAUUGAAAUGCAUGUACCUCUUUUCCAGAGUUCUGUCUGUUCUUCCUCCUUCCUCUACAGAAAUCCUGAUUAUUUAUUGAUUUGUUAAUUCAGCUGACCCUGUGCAUACUCUUCCCCACAGCUGCUCACAGUGUGUUUUGUUGCUUUGCCUGUGUCGUGUGAGAGCAGGAGCUUGAAGGGAGAACACCCAAAUGUACGUGUUUAGACAUCUGGACUCGGGGCUUGCUGGUGGGCAGAUCCUGUGGCACUGACAAUCCUUGGUAGAAUCCGUGUCACCUCCCUUUCUAGUACAAGUGAUGCUUUCUUCCUCAUUGCAGAAGGGAGGACAGUAGGCACUUGGAGAUAACUGUCUCCUCCCUACAGAUAUUCAGGAAGAGAAACCUGUUCCUGUUGAAAAAUAUUCCCUAAAGAUCACAACAACUUCAUCAAGGCAGAUAAUGAGAGAGGUGUCUUGAAGGUUUGGGGUGAUCUCCCCUUGCUCAGGUUCCUCUCUGCAAGUAAGAGCCCAGGGACCCCACUCAACUUUAGGCCAUUCACAGGCAUCACCAAAGAGCAGACACCAAGAUUGCCAUUUUCUAGGAGUGUGUCCUGUGAGUGGCUUUGGCGUUGCUUUUGUUUAAUUUUCAGCGACUCAGAAUUCAGGCGUUUAAUGAGGGAGCAAUAUGGUUUCACUUUUAAAAUCUCUCUGACAUAAAAUCCUUGGCUGAAGAGGCUGGACUCCUGCGAGGUCCUUGCAGUGGAGGGGCCUCCUCAAAGGUCCCAGUUUGAGGAACUCAGCAGAUGUUUGUGGGUCAACAGGUCAGUCCCUAAGACAAAUCAAAAGUAGUGGACAUUGGCUUAGGGGGUGACAGUUCAGGUGUAGCUGGGUUCUACUGUAUGAGAGCAAGUGCCUGCAUCGGGAGUGUAGCCAUUUCUAGCUGAGUGCUGCUGCUCUGAAGCGCUUCUGUCUCUGUUGGCUCCUCCCACUCCUCUUCCCAACCCCCACUGGGGCCUCCUGCCUCCCUACCUCGCUGCCUUCCUCUCUCCCUCCCUCCCUCCCUCUGUCCCUCCUCCAGCCAAGGAGCCAAUGGUUCUCUGUCCCAUAAUCCUCAUCCUUCCCCUGUGUUUCACUGGCUCAGUAGUGGGCCCUUAACUGAAUAAAAUACAGUCAGUUGUGGCCAGAAUUAUGUGCAGCAAUUAGUUUAACGUAACCGGAGCUUUCCUUGGGUGUGGGAGGCUGAGUACAGGAAGAGGCUUCCCCAAAGAGACUGGGCUGGUUGACAGAAAAGCUGGUCCUGGGCACCAGGCAGAGAGCAAAGAGCUGGCUUCCAGUGCACAGGAAUCUACUAAAUCUAAGGGAAUUGGGGUGUGUGGGUUCUCAUCAGCACCCAAGACUACUAAUCUAAAGUGAACCAGGAGGCUGGUGUUUCUUGCACUGGUUGCAAUCUUCCACUCCUCUCAGCCUCUGUUAGGGGAGAGAGAAUCAGAUCUGUAGCCUUUGGUUCCUGGAAGUGACAAGCCGAAGAGGAAAGUCUUGAUUUCAAUGUCUUUAGGAUGGCUUUUGGGCAUCAGACAUCAUCCAAUAAGCCAUGUGGGCGUGGUUAGUGGAACACACCCCAAAACAGUGUAGAAUGGGGAGGCCACCAGCCACUAUCCAGGAGCUUGACGAUCUGAAGGUCUAGAGACCAAAGGAGGGAGGAUACAGUUGGUGUUGCAGUCUCCGCUGUGGCCACACGGGUCUGCUAAAGGCCCAUCACACUUCCUGGGAAUGUGGCCUCCCUGUCAGAGGUGGGAAGGCUUCACCUGUGCCUCUCAAAGUAGCUCCCAACAUGCAGGGUGAGGGAGGCCCAGAGGAUAGAGUGACAGCUGUAUACCCUCAGAACCUGGCAGCUGGAGCCACAGGUGCCAUCAUAGUCAGGUGAGAAAGAUUGGCUCCUAGGCAGCUCAGCCACCAAGGCCUGACUAGCCAAUUUUCAGAUAAGAUCAUCUCUCCUCUUUGUCACCCUCUCCUGUGCCCCAGGUGUUACCUAAUACCUGGAAAAAGCAGGCAUGGGGAAGAAAGCAAGCAGAGACCAGCAGAGCAGUGCCCCUAAGCCUUCUGCCUCAGAAUAUAGUAAAUGCAUCAUCAGCCAGGCUAGGCCUGGAGCCUGCUUCUCCCUGCUGAACCCCAUCCUUACCUCCCUAACCCUUCUGCUCAUUUAGCUUGUUCCUUGACUCUUCCUGCCCAGAGUCUGCCUCAUGGCAACAGCUUUAACCCUUUCUCCAGAGUCUAAUCCGGAUCUUGCACACCCUACUGGGUGAACAUGGGUAACUCCUGCCUCCACCCCAGACCCUUGCACAAUCACUUUAACUAUUUCCCAAGAGCCUGAUCAAACCACCCUAGUAGGUAGAUGUGGGUCCCUCCUGCACCUCCAGGCACAAUCAGUUUAGCCAUUUCCCAAGUCUCCUUCAGAGCCAAAGUUUUCCAAGCACUUUCUGCCCAAAAGCUUUUCCUUCCUUGCCUCCUGUGGCCCAGCAUUGCCCAUUUAAACUUUGCUUUCUCCUGCCCACAUCUUAUCAUCCUCCUGAUUGGUCUGAACGCAUUUCCAAUGAUGUUAGCAAAUCUGCCUUCCUCAGCCACUGCUGUUUUAUUUAUUGUUGAAUAUUUCCAAUGAUUUGAAUCAAAGUAAAUAAAAAGAGUUAUUUUAUUGUUUGG
rnacentral:lncRNA from 1 species